UUUCCGUAGGUGAGUAAUAAGUAUCUUUCAAAUAAUGAAAUAAAAUUCUAACAGUUUAUAGGUGAACCUGCGGAAGGAUCAUUACCGAGUGAUGCUCUUUUAGAGCUCCUCCCACCCAAUGUCAACCUUCUCGUUGCUUCGGCGGGCCACUUUAUAGUCACUGGCCUUGUGCGAGUGCGCGCCCGCCGAAGAAUUUUACUCGAGUUUUUAAAGUCUGAUUCUUAUUUUUAAUAAAUAA
rnacentral:misc_RNA from 1 species